GACGAACGCUGGCGGCGUGCUUAACACAUGCAAGUCGAACGGAAAGGCCCUGUUUCUGUGGGGUGCUCGAGUGGCGGACGGGGGAGUAACACGUGAGUAACCUGUCCUUGACUGUGGGAUAACUUCAGGAAACUGGGGCUAAUAGCGGAAAGGAGCCGCUGCUGCGUGGAGGGGGUUGGAAAGAGUCGGCGGAUGGGGAUGGACCCGCGGCUUAUCAGCUUGUUGGUGGGGUAGUGGCUUACCCAGGCGUUGUCGGGUAGGCGGCCGGUGAGGGUGUGCGGCCCCAUUGGGACUGAGAGACGGGCCCGUCUCCUCCGGGGGGCAGCGGUGGGGAAUAUUGCGCAAUGGGCGGACGACUGUUGCCGCGCCGCCGUGUGCGGAAUGUCGGCCUUUGGGUAGUAUACCGCUUUUGCCUGUGGCGAAGCGUGAGUGACGGUACUGGGUGAAGAAGCACCGGCUAACUACGUG
rnacentral:rRNA from 1 species